ensembl:snoRNA
AAUUUUGUUAUAUAUAAGAUAAAAAAUCUUUAUUGCCUUAGUGUGCUAGAGUCCUCGAAGAGUAACUGCUGACCUUGUUCGCUGGCUGUGGCUCCCAAGGCACAGUCAGUCACCAGGUUAGUGACAUGC